AGCGGGUCUACCAUGCAGUCGACGCUGAAGCACCAGCUUGCUGGUGUGGAUGAGUGGCGAACGGGUGAGUAAUACGUGAGUAACCUGCCCUUGACUCUGGGAUAAGCCCGGGAAACUGGGUCUAAUACUGGAUGCUACAUGUCACCGCAUGGUGGUGUGUGGAAAGGGUUUACUGGUCUUGGAUGGGCUCACGGCCUAUCAGCUUGUUGGUGAGGUAAUGGCUCACCAAGGCGACGACGGGUAGCCGGCCUGAGAGGGUGACCGGCCACACUGGGACUGAGACACGGCCCAGACUCCUACGGGAGGCAGCAGUGGGGAAUAUUGCACAAUGGGCGAAAGCCUGAUGCAGCGACGCCGCGUGAGGGAUGACGGCCUUCGGGUUGUAAACCUCUUUCAGCAGGGAAGAAGCCACAAGUGACGGUACCUGCAGAAGAAGCGCCGGCUAACUACGUGCCAGCAGCCGCGGUAAUACGUAGGGCGCAAGCGUUGUCCGGAAUUAUUGGGCGUAAAGAGCUCGUAGGCGGUUUGUCGCGUCUGCUGUGAAAGCCCGGGGCUUAACCCCGGGUGUGCAGUGGGUACGGGCAGACUAGAGUGCAGUAGGGGAGACUGGAAUUCCUGGUGUAGCGGUGGAAUGCGCAGAUAUCAGGAGGAACACCGAUGGCGAAGGCAGGUCUCUGGGCUGUUACUGACGCUGAGGAGCGAAAGCAUGGGGAGCGAACAGGAUUAGAUACCCUGGUAGUCCAUGCCGUAAACGUUGGGCACUAGGUGUGGGGGACAUUCCACGUUUUCCGCGCCGUAGCUAACGCAUUAAGUGCCCCGCCUGGGGAGUACGGCCGCAAGGCUAAAACUCAAAGGAAUUGACGGGGGCCCGCACAAGCGGCGGAGCAUGCGGAUUAAUUCGAUGCAACGCGAAGAACCUUACCAAGGCUU
rnacentral:rRNA from 1 species